UAGUGUUGGUUUCUUCUCUAACAAUAAUAGUGAGUGGGGUUGGUUUUGGAUCCUUCCAGCCUGUCCUUAUUGUGAUCCCAAAAAAAAUUGAAUUAAAAGGGUAUUCAACAUUAUUCAAUAUUCAUUUUCAUAUGAUAUGAGAGGAAAGGAAUUUUUUUUCAUGGUGGGUCUAUUUUGCAACCAAUGAGUGAAAUGAGAUCUGAGAAGUGAAAACAUUUUUUGUUGAAGGAAUGGAGAUUAAAGCUGAAAGCACUGUGACAACAAUUAGAAAAGAGAUGUGAGUCACUUGCUUAAGUAAG
rnacentral:lncRNA from 1 species